UGAGGAAUAUUGGUCAAUGGGCGAGAGCCUGAACCAGCCAAGUCGCGUGAGGGACGACGGCCCUACGGGUUGUAAACCUCUUUUGCCGGGGGACAAACGGCGGCACGCGUGCCGUCCUGAGGGUACCCGGAGAAAAAGCAUCGGCUAACUCCGUGCCAGCAGCCGCGGUAAUACGGAGGAUGCGAGCGUUAUCCGGAUUUAUUGGGUUUAAAGGGUGCGUAGGCGGGAUGCCAAGUCAGCGGUCAAAUACGGGGGCUCAACCUGCGUCCGCCGUUGAAACUGGCGUUCUUGAGUGGGCGAGAAGUACGCGGAAUGCGUGGUGUAGCGGUGAAAUGCAUAGAUAUCACGCAGAACCCCGAUUGCGAAGGCAGCGUACCGGCGCCCGACUGACGCUGAAGCA
rnacentral:rRNA from 1 species